GAUGAACGCUGGCGGCGUGCCUAAUACAUGCAAGUCGAGCGAACAGAUAAGGAGCUUGCUCCUUUGACGUUAGCGGCGGACGGGUGAGUAACACGUGGGUAACCUACCUAUAAGACUGGGAUAACUUCGGGAAACCGGAGCUAAUACCGGAUAACAUUUGGAACCGCAUGGUUCUAAUGUGACAGAUGGUUUUGCUAUCACUUAUAGAUGGACCCGCGCCGUAUUAGCUAGUUGGUAAGGUAACGGCUUACCAAGGCAACGAUACGUAGCCGACCUGAGAGGGUGAUCGGCCACACUGGAACUGAGACACGGUCCAGACUCCUACGGGAGGCAGCAGUAGGGAAUCUUCCGCAAUGGGCGAAAGCCUGACGGAGCAACGCCGCGUGAGUGAUGAAGGGUUUCGGCUCGUAAAACUCUGUUAUUAGGGAAGAACAAACGUGUAAGUAACUGUGCACGUCUUGACGGUACCUAAUCAGAAAGCCACGGCUAACUACGUG
rnacentral:rRNA from 1 species